CAGCCCCCCCACUUCUCUUCCCCCUUGGCCGCCGCCCCCCUGCCCAUCUCCUCCUCUCUCAAUUCUUGCAGCCACCAAACCCUAGCCGCCCCCCUCUCAAUCCCCUCCUCCCAAGGUGCCAAUCCUUGCCGCUCGGAUCAUCGUCGUCGUGGUGCGAGUCUUCAAUCGUUUUGGUGGAGGGAAGAAGGGAGAAAGGAAAGGGGGAGAAUCCAAGGUGAUUUUUGUGUUCAUCCCUUGUUCAUUUGCGCUGCAAUUUAAUUGAUUAGAGGUUGCGUUUGCGAUUGGGGUAGAGGGGGGCUGUCCAGAAUUUUAGGUGGUGGGUGAACAGCAGUAGUCUAGCAGUUUCUGUGUUUUUUUCGUGAGGAAUUAAGGGAAAUCAGUUUGGGGAUCAUGUAGAAUUUUACCUUACCUUUCCAACGAGUAUUUAUGCGCUCAAUUUGGAGUUAUAAAUUGAAAGUUAUCACCGUUUGAAUCCGGGUAUGUGGCUGUCAAAAAAACAGAUUUUUUCAGGGGGAUGAACAGCAGCAGUAUUAGCAGUUUCUGGGAAUUUUUCGUGGGUAAUUAGUGUUAAUCAGUAUGAGAAUCAUGUAGGGCUUUAUGUUAUCUUUCCAACAAGUACUUAUGCGCUCGAUUCGGAGUUAUAAUUCAGGAGAUAUCGUUGUUUGAAUCUGGUUAUGUUGCUGUCCAAAAAAAACAGAUUUUUCAGGUGGGUGAACAGCAGUGGUAUUAGCAGUUUCUGGGAAUUUUUCGUGGGUAAUUAGUGUUAACCAGUAUGGUAAUCAUGUAGGGAUUUGUCUUAUCUUUCCAAUGAGUACUUAUGCGCUUGAUUUGGAAUUAUAUUUUAAAAGAUAUCGCUGUUUGAAUCUGGGUAUGUCGCUGUCCAAAAGACAAAGAAAAACAGAUUACAGGGUUCAUCUUGUGGACUGUUUUGGGCUAAUUAGAUAUUGGAAUUUAAUUAUAAAUUGUAUACAAAACUUGUGGGGAAUUUUAUGUAGAUGCCUCUGGAGUUUUUGUUUGUUACCACGGCUGUCAUAAUUUUAAAGUUAUGAAAUUAUUAAGCAGCGCCGCUGCAGUUUGGUGGAUGUAGGGAGAGAUGUAACCCGCGGCGGGGUUUGAGUUUGUGCGUAGGUGCGGCGUCGCUUAUGAGCCUGAUUAUGUGAAAUUGGUGUACUAAGUUGGGUGUCAAAAACAGGUGGUGGACUUCCGGAUCGUACUUAGGGAUUUGCCCGAACUUCCGG
rnacentral:lncRNA from 1 species